UUACUCACUUCAGCAGUUCAUAUACUAAAACUGGAAAAAUAUAGAGAAGAUUAGCAUGGCCCCUGUGCAAGGAUGAUAUGAAAAUUCACAUAUGUUU
rnacentral:snRNA from 1 species